GACGAACGCUGGCGGCGUGCUUAACACAUGCAAGUCGAACGGAAAGGCCCUGCUUUUGUGGGGUGCUCGAGUGGCGAACGGGUGAGUAACACGUGAGUAACCUGCCCUUGACUUUGGGAUAACUUCAGGAAACUGGGGCUAAUACCGGAUAGGAGCUCCUGCUGCAUGGUGGGGGUUGGAAAGUUUCGGCGGUCGGGGAUGGACUCGCGGCUUAUCAGCUUGUUGGUGGGGUAGUGGCUUACCAAGGCUUUGACGGGUAGCCGGCCUGAGAGGGUGAGCGGCCACGAUGGGACCGAGAUUCGGCCCGGACGCCGACGUGAGGCAGCAUGGGGGAUGAUUGCACAACUGGCGGAGCCCUGAUGCGGCAACGCCGCGGGCCUGAUGAUGGCCAUCGGGUGGAAUGCCACAUUCACCUGUAACGAAGCGUACAUGACGGUAACUGGUAAAGAAGCACCGGCUAACUACGUG
rnacentral:rRNA from 1 species